ensembl:lncRNA
ACAACUUGAAACAAAUGGUCAAAUCAACAAGACCAGGUUCAUGACCUCUACAGAACUGCAGCAGCUCCCUCUGUUCUGAAAACCACAUGGGGGAAGAUGUUUAAGCUAACUUCAGUGAGAAUGUUCUCUGCUCUUGAGAAAGUCUGUUCUGGAGAAGAUUCAUAUUGGCUUUCAAGACAUUUACAGUGAGUUUUUGGCUGAAAUGACUAAUGUUGAAGUCACGUAAGGAAUGAAUUGUGGAAAGCCUUAUGUUGCUGAUACCUCUGCAAACAUAGUUUUCACAGGUAAAAGUGUCUUAAAUGUCUUUUUUUCCUUAAACCUCCUGCCAUCUCUCUCAUUAUCAGCAACUAGUGCAGCAUGUCCUUCUACAUUAAUUGCAACAGGUAUGGAGUUACAACACAACCUCAUCGGACUGGAGUGGAAGGAGAAUACGAUGCAUAUCUGCAGGAAGAUGGCAUAAAAGUUUUAAAUUUCCACAACAAUCAGCUCUUAAAAACUUCCUGAAAACUUUGAAGGAAUAUCAGUAUACUGUAGCGCCCUCCUACAAUUCAUGCGGCAGUCCUUCCUGGAUGGAAACAAUUCCUUACUUCCAGGAACUAUGAUUCUGCUUGAACAAAAUUGCUUUUAGUGAAUGAUAGAUGUGAAUCUCCAACUCCUCCUUCAAGCACCUGACAGACAGAACUGCAUAUCAAACCAAGUUAAGCUGAUGAUUUAAACAUUUUGCCUAUCUGGAACUUUAAUUAUCUCAUCAUCUCCUUAUGUUUCAUUAUUAUGAAGCUGCAAGAAAUGACAACAACUAGAGAAGAGUGGCUAUAUAAACCAAAUACAACUUCAAGAACCAAAUUUAAAUGGAUGUAUUAUAUAUCCUAACACUGAAACAAAGCCAGACUAUUUUUUUAUGGCACUGAUUAUAAAUUAAAGUAGACUGAAAAUUUCAGGAGUCAGAUAACCUUUUUCCAUAUGCU